UUAAUGAAGACGGAUCUGUUUAUCAGAGUAGGUAUCUUUCUCUUAGUGUAGAUGGAUCUGUUUAUCGGAGUAGGUAUCUCUCUCUUAGUGAAGAUGGAUCUGUUUAUCGGAGUAGGUAUCUAUCUUUCUCUUAGUGAAGAUGGAUCUGUUUAUCAGAGUAGGUAUCUUUCUCUUAGUGAAGAUGGAUCUGUUUAUCGGAGUAGGUAUCUUUCUCUUAGUGUAGAUGGAUCUGUUUAUCGGAGUAGGUAUUUCUCUCUUAGUGAAGAUGGAUCUGUUUAUCGGAGUAGGUAUCUAUCUUUCUCUUAGUGAAGAUGGAUCUGUUUAUCAGAGUAGGUAUCUUUCUCUUAGUGAAGAUGGAUCUGUUUAUCGGAGUAGGUAUCUUUCUCUUAGUGUAGAUGGAUCUGUUUAUCAGAGUAGGUAUCUCUCUCUUAGUGUAGAUGGAUCUGUUUAUCGGAGUAGGUAUCUCUCUCUUAGUGAAGAUGGAUCUGUUUAUCGGAGUAGGUAUCUUUCUCUUAGUGUAGAUGGAUCUGUUUAUCAGAGUAGGUAUCUCUCUCUUAGUGAAGAUGGAUCUGUUUAUCGGAGUAGGUAUCUUUCUCUUCAUGCAGACAGAUACAUUUUCUUUAUCCUGGAAUUUGACCUAAAAUAACUUGAAACCUCUUUCC